rnacentral:rRNA from 1 species
AUUGAACGCUGGCGGCAGGCCUAACACAUGCAAGUCGAGCGGCAGCGGAAAGUAGCUUGCUACUUUGCCGGCGAGCGGCGGACGGGUGAGUAAUGUCUGGGGAUCUGCCUGAUGGAGGGGGAUAACUACUGGAAACGGUAGCUAAUACCGCAUAACGUCGCAAGACCAAAGUGGGGGACCUUCGGGCCUCACGCCAUCGGAUGAACCCAGAUGGGAUUAGCUAGUAGGUGGGGUAAUGGCUCACCUAGGCGACGAUCCCUAGCUGGUCUGAGAGGAUGACCAGCCACACUGGGACAGAGACACGGCCCAGACUCCGACGGGAGGCAGCAGUGGGGAAUAUUGCACAAUGGGCGCAAGCCUGAUGCAGCCAUGCCGCGUGUGUGAAGAAGGCCUUCGGGUUGUAAAGCACUUUCAGCGAGGAGGAAGGGUGGUGUGUUAAUAGCACACGACAUUGACGUUACUCGCAGAAGAAGCACCGGCUAACUCCGUGCCAGCAGCAGCCGUAA